UAUCGCGAUACGCCUGUAGCUCGAUGG
rnacentral:sRNA from 1 species